GGUCUGGCGCUUGUCUAUGUUCCUUGGAACAGGACGUCACAGAGGGUGAGAAUCCCGUGCGACGGGCUGCCCAGAUCCGUGUAAAGUUCCUUCGAAGAGUCGAGUUGUUUGGGAAUGCAGCUCUAAGUGGGUGGUAAAUUCCAUCUAAAGCUAAAUAUUGGCGAGAGACCGAUAGCGAACAAGUACAGUGAUGGAAAGAUGAAAAGAACUUUGAAAAGAGAGUGAAAAAGUACGUGAAAUUGUUGAAAGGGAAGGGGAUGCGAUCAGACUUGGUAUUUUGUAUGUCUUGCCUUCGGGCGGGGCCUCUGCAGCUUACUGGGCCAGCAUCGGUUCGGGUGGCAGGACAAUUGCGGAGAAAUGUGGCACGGCCUCGGCUGUGUGUUAUAGUCUCUGUCGAUACUGCCUGCCUGGACCGAGGACUGCGUCUUUACGACUAG
rnacentral:rRNA from 1 species